GGUUUUGGUAAAGCGAAGCUGCAGAACCGCUGCUGCACCGCUGUGCUUUGCCCUCAGAGUUGGGCUCGCCUUCCCUCCCCGCUGUUGUUGUUGCUGGGGUAGCUGGUAGGCGUUGGGAUUCCAGCCAACCACCCCCAUGGCCGCCAUCCAUCAAGUCUGAGGCUCUGCCUGAUGUUUUCC